rnacentral:rRNA from 1 species
GGAGGAAAAGAAACCAACUGGGAUUACCUUAGUAACGGCGAGUGAAGCGGUAAAAGCUCAAAUUUGAAAUCUGGUACUUUCAGUGCCCGAGUUGUAAUUUGUAGAAUUUGUCUUUGAUUAGGUCCUUGUCUAUGUUCCUUGGAACAGGACGUCAUAGAGGGUGAGAAUCCCGUUUGGCGAGGAUACCUUUUCUCUGUAAGACUUUUUCGAAGAGUCGAGUUGUUUGGGAAUGCAGCUCAAAGUGGGUGGUAAAUUCCAUCUAAAGCUAAAUAUUGGCGAGAGACCGAUAGCGAACAAGUACAGUGAUGGAAAGAUGAAAAGAACUUUGAAAAGAGAGUGAAAAAGUACGUGAAAUUGUUGAAAGGGAAGGGCAUUUGAUCAGACAUGGUGUUUUUUGCAUGCACUCGCCUCUCGUGGGCUUGGGCCUCUCAAAAAUUUCACUGGGCCAACAUCAAUUCUGGCAGCAGGAUAAAUCAUUAAGAAUGUAGCUACUUCGGUAGUGUUAUAGCUUUUUGGAAUACUGUUAGCCGGGAUUGAGGACUGCGCUUCGGCAAGGAUGUUGGCAUAAUGGUUAAAUGCANCCCGUCUU